rnacentral:lncRNA from 1 species
AUGUCUGGGUCCAGGCCACUGUUUACAAUGGUGUUUUCCUGUGAAAUGUCUUGGUCCAGGCCACUGUUUAGAAUGGUGUUUUCCUGUGAAAUGUCUUGGUCCAGGCCACUGUUUAGAAUGAAUUGGGGGUUUCCUGUGAAAUGUCUUGGACCAGGCCCCCCAUUGACCAAAUGUCUUGGACCAGGCCUGGGCCCCCAAUGAUCAAAUGUCUUGGACCAAGCCUGGGCCCCCACUGACCAAAUGUUUUGGACCGGGCC